rnacentral:rRNA from 1 species
UACGUAGGUGGCAAGCGUUGUCCGGAUUUACUGGGCGUAAAGGGCGCGUAGGCGGCGCGGUAAGUCACUUGUGAAAUCUCUGAGCUUAACUCAGAACGGCCAAGUGAUACUGCAGUGCUAGAGUGUGGAAGGGGCAAUCGGAAUUCUUGGUGUAGCGGUGAAAUGCGUAGAUAUCAAGAGGAACACCUGAGGUGAAGACGGGUUGCUGGGCCAACACUGACGCUGAUGCGCGAAAGCCAGGGGAGCAAACGGG